rnacentral:rRNA from 1 species
GUGGGGAAUAUUGGACAAUGGGGGGAACCCUGAUCCAGCCAUGCCGCGUGUGUGAAGAAGGCCUUUUGGUUGUAAAGCACUUUAAGCGAGGAGGAGGCUACUUAGAUUAAUACUCUAGGAUAGUGGACGUUACUCGCAGAAUAAGCACCGGCUAACUCUGUGCCAGCCGCCGCGGUAAUACAGAGGGUGCAAGCGUUAAUCGGAUUUACUGGGCGUAAAGCGCGCGUAGGUGGCCAAUUAAGUGAAAUGUGAAAUCCCCGAGCUUAACUUGGGAAUUGCAUUCGAUACUGGUUGGGUAGAGUAUGGGAGAGGAUGGUAGAAUUCCAGGUGUAGCGGUUAAAUGCGUAGAGAUCUGGAGGAAUACCGAUGGCGAAGGCAGCCAUCUGGCCUAAUGCUGACACUGAGGUGCGAAAGCAUGGGGAGCAAACAGGAUUAGAUACCCGUGUAGUCC